rnacentral:rRNA from 2 species
UCUAUCCCUUUGAUGGGGACACAGAGGGAACCGCUGCUAAUACCCGAUGUGCCGAAAGGUGAAAGAUUUAUCGUCUGAAGAUGAGCUCGCGUCCGAUUAGCUAGUUGGUAGGGUAAAAGCCUACCAAGGCGACGAUCGGUAGCUGGUCUGAGAGGAUGACCAGCCACACUGGGACUGAGACACGGCCCAGACUCCUACGGGAGGCAGCAGUGGGGAAUUUUCCGCAAUGGGCGAAAGCCUGACGGAGCAAGACCGCGUGAGGGAGGAAGGCUCUUGGGUUGUAAACCUCUUUUCUCUGGGAAGAAGCUCUGACGGUACCAGAGGAAUCAGCAUCGGCUAACUCCGUGCCAGCAGCCGCGGUAAUACGGAGGAUGCAAGCGUUAUCCGGAAUUAUUGGGCGUAAAGCGUCCGUAGGUGGCAAUUCAAGUCUGCCGUUAAAACCAGUGGCUUAACUACUGAGGGGCGGUGGAAACUGAAUAGCUAGAGUGUGGUAGGGGUAGAGGGAAUUCCCAGUGUAGCGGUGAAAUGCGUAGAGAUUGGGAAGAACACCGGUGGCGAAAGCGCUCUGCUGGACCACAACUGACACUCACAGGACGAAAGCUAGGGGAGCGAAAGGGAUUAGAUACCCC